rnacentral:rRNA from 1 species
AAGCCCCCUUCAAGAUGAGAUUUCCCAUGAUUUUAAAUCAGUAAGACCCCUUAGAGAUGAUGAGGUUGAUAGGUCUGGAGUGGAAGCACGGUGACGUGUGAAGCGGACAGAUACUAAUCGGUCGAGGGCUUAACCC